GAUGAACGCUGGCGGUCUGCUUAACACAUGCAAGUCGAACGGAAGUAGCAAUACUUUAGUGGCGGACGGGUGAGUAACACGUAAGAACCUGCCUCUUGGCCGGGGACAACAGUUGGAAACGGCUGCUAAUCCCGGAUGAGCCGAAAGGUAAAAGAUUAAUCGCCAAGAGAGGGGCUUGCGUCUGAUUAGCUAGUUGGUAGUGUAAGAGACUACCAAGGCGACGAUCAGUAGCUGGUCUGAGAGGAUGAUCAGCCACACUGGGACUGAGACACGGCCCAGACUCCUACGGGAGGCAGCAGUGGGGAAUUUUCCGCAAUGGGCGAAAGCCUGACGGAGCAAGACCGCGUGGGGGAGGAAGGUUCUUGGAUUGUCAACCCCUUUUCUCAGGGAAGAAGAAAGUGACGGUACCUGAGGAAGAAGCAUCGGCUAACUCCGUGCCAGCAGCCGCGGUAAUACGGAGGAUGCAAGCGUUAUCCGGAAUGAUUGGGCGUAAAGAGUCCGUAGGUGGCCCUUCAAGUCUGCUGUUAAAGAGCGAGGCUUAACUUCGGAAAAGCAGUGGAAACUGGAGAGCUAGAGUGUAGUAGGGGCAGAGGGAAUUCCUGGUGUAGCGGUGAAAUGCGUAGAGAUCAGGAAGAACACCGGUGGCGAAAGCGCUCUGCUGGGCUACAACUGACACUGAGGGACGAAAGCUAGGGGAGCGAAUGGGAUUAGAUACCCCAGUAGUCCUAGCGGUAAACGAUGGAAACUAGGUGUGGCCUGUAUCGACCCGGGCCGUGCCGGAGCAAACGCGUUAAGUUUCCCGCCUGGGGAGUACGCACGCAAGUGUGAAACUCAAAGGAAUUGACGGGGGCCCGCACAAGCGGUGGAGUAUGUGGUUUAAUUCGAUGCAACGCGAAAAACCUUACCAGGACUUGACAUCUCUGGAAUCCGUCUGAAAGGGUGGAGUGCCUUAGGGAACCAGAAGACAGGUGCUGCAUGGCUGUCGUCAGCUCGUGUCGUGAGAUGUUGGGUUAAGUCCCGCAACGAGCGCAACCCUCGUCGUUAGUUGCCAUCAUUAAGUUGGGAACUCUAGCGAGACUGCCGGUGACAAACCGGAGGAAGGUGAGGAUGACGUCAAGUCAGCAUGGCCCUUACGUCCUGGGCGACACACGUACUACAAUGCUAAGGACAGAGAGCAGCCAACCCGCGAGGGAGAGCGAAUCUCAUAAACCUUGGCACAGUUCAGAUUGAAGCUUGCAACUCAGCUUCAUGAAGGAGGAAUCGCUAGUAAUCGCAGGUCAGCAUACUGCGGUGAAUCCGUUCCCGGGCCUUGUACACACCGCCCGUCACACCAUGGAAGUGAGCCACGCCCGAAGUCAUUACUCUAACCUGCAAGGGGGGAGGGUGCCGAAGGCAGGGCUGAUGACUGGGGUGAGUCGUAACAAGGUAGCCG
rnacentral:rRNA from 2 species